rnacentral:rRNA from 1 species
UCCCAGACUCCUACGGGAGGCAGCAGUGGGGGAUAUUGGACAAUGGGGGGAACCCUGAUCCAGCGACGCCGCGUGAGUGAAGAAGUAUUUCGGUAUGUAAAGCUCUAUCAGCAGGGAAGAAAGGAAUGACGGUACCUGACUAAGAAGCCCCGGCUAACUACGUGCCAGCAGCCGCGGUAAUACGUAGGGGGCAAGCGUUAUCCGGAUUUACUGGGUGUAAAGGGAGCGUAGACGGUUACGCAAGUCUGGAGUGAAAGGCGGGGGCCCAACCCCGGAACUGCUUUGGAAACUGUGCAGCUCGAGUGCAGGAGAGGUAAGCGGAAUUCCUAGUGUAGCGGUGAAAUGCGUAGAUAUUAGGGGGAACACCAGUGGCGAAGGCGGCUUACUGGACUGUAACUGACGUUGAGGCUCGAAAGCGUGGGGAGCAAACAGGAUUAGAUACCCCCGUAU